UACGAAGGGGGGCUAGCGUUGCUCGGAAUGACUGGGCGUAAAGGGCGCGUAGGCGGUUCAUACAGUUAGAUGUGAAAUUCCUGGGCUCAACCUGGGGGCUGCAUUUGAUACGUGUGGACUAGAGUGGGGAAGAGGGGUCGUGGAAUUCCCGGUGUAGCGGUGAAAUGCGUAGAGAUCGGGAGGAACAUCAGUGGCGAAGGCGGCCAUCUGGGACAACACGUGACGCUGAAGCACGAAAGCGUGGGGAGCAAACAGG
rnacentral:rRNA from 1 species